rnacentral:rRNA from 1 species
GACGAACGCUGGCGGCGUGCUUAACACAUGCAAGUCGAACGGAAAGGCCCAGCUUGCUGGGUACUCGAGUGGCGAACGGGUGAGUAACACGUGGGUGAUCUGCCCUGGACUCUGGGAUAAGCCUGGUAAACUGGGUCUAAUACCGGAUAUGACCUUACAUCGCAUGGUGUUUGGUGGAAAGCUUUUGCGGUUCAGGAUGGGCCCGCGGCCUAUCAGCUUGUUGGUGGGGUAAUGGCCUACCAAGGCGACGACGGGUAGCCGCCCUGAGAGGGUGAUCGGCCACACUGGGACUGAGACACGGCCCAGACUCCUACGGGAGGCAGCAGUGGGGAAUAUUGCACAAUGGGCGCAAGCCUGAUGCAGCGACGCCGCGUGAGGGAUGACGGCCUUCGGGUUGUAAACCUCUUUCACCAGGGACGAAGCGUGAGUGACGGUACCUGGAGAAGAAGCACCGGCCAACUACGUG